rnacentral:rRNA from 1 species
UAAUUGAAGAGUUUGAUCAUGGCUCAGAUUGAACGCUGGCGGCAGGCCUAACACAUGCAAGUCGAGCGGCAGCACAGAGGAACUUGUUCCUUGGGUGGCGAGCGGCGGACGGGUGAGUAAUGCCUGGGAAAUUGCCCGGUAGAGGGGGAUAACCAUUGGAAACGAUGGCUAAUACCGCAUAACCUCGCAAGAGCAAAGCAGGGGACCUUAGGGCCUUGCGCUACCGGAUAUGCCCAGGUGGGAUUAGCUAGUUGGUGAGGUAAGGGCUCACCAAGGCGACGAUCCCU